GUUGGGGAGAAAAAAUCAAAGUACAGUUCAGUCCAGCACUUGGUUUGCAGUGAGCCAAGCAGGGAGAGUGGAACCACCAAGGUCUCUCCCUGGGAACUACACUCAGCAUGUCACAUCAAGUUGUCAUAGCUUUGAACUAUGUCUCGAAGCUGUGAAUGUACAAAGUGGCCACUCCAGGAAUUAGCAAACAUAUGACCAUGGCAGCAAUUGCAGGGACAAUAUCCAACCAUCUAUGGCAAUAAAUUCUGGAGUAGUGAAGUCCA
rnacentral:lncRNA from 1 species